AGAGUUUGACCUGGUUCGGCCGGGGAUUAGUGGCGAACGGGUGAGUUUACACGUGGGCAAUCUGCCCUGCACUCUGGGACAAGCCCUGGAAACGGGGUCUAAUACCGGAUAUGACUGCCGACCGCAUGGUCUGGUGGUGGAAAGCUCCGGCGGUGCAGGAUGAGCCCGCGGCCUAUCAGCUUGUUGGUGGGGUGAUGGCCUACCAAGGCGACGACGGGUAGCCGGCCUGAGAGGGCGACCGGCCACACACGGCCCAGACUCCUACGGGAGGCAGCAGUGGGGAAUAUUGCACAAUCGGCGCAAGCCUGAUGCAGCGACGCCGCGUGAGGGAUGACGGCCUUCGGGUUGUAAACCUCUUUCAGCAGGGAUGAAGCGCAAGUGACGGUACCUGCAGAAGAAGCGCCGGCUAACUACGUGCAGCAGCCGCGGUAAUACGUACGGCGCAAGCGUUGUCCGGAAUUAUUGGGCGUAAAGAGCUCGUAGGCGGCUUGUCGCGUCGGAUGUGAAAGCCCGGGGCUUAACUCCGGGUCUGCAUUCGAUACGGGCAGGCUAGAGUUCGGUAGGGGAGAUCGGAAUUCCUGGUGUAGCGGUGAAAUGCGCAGAUAUCAGGAGGAACACCGGUGGCGAAGGCGGAUCUCUGGGCCGAUACUACGCUGAGGAGCGAAAGCGUGGGGAGCGAACAGGAUUAGAUACCCUGCUAGUCCACGCCGUAAACGUUGGCUACUAGGUGUGGGCGACAUUCCACGUUGUCCGUGCCGCAGCUAUCGCAUUAAGUUCCCCGCCUGGGGAGUAGGCCGCAAGGCUAAAACUCAAAGGAAUUGACGGGGGCCCGCACAAGCGGCGGAGCAUGUGGCUUAAUUCGACGCAACGCGAAGAACCUUACCAAGGCUUGACAUACAUCGGAAACCUCUGGAGACAGGGCCCCCUUGUGGUCGGUGUACAGGUGGUGCAUGGCUGUCGUCAGCUCGUGUCGUGAGAUGUUGGGUUAAGUCCCGCAACGAGCGCAACCCUUGUCCUGUGUUGCCAGCAUGCCCUUUGGGGUGAUGGGGAACUCACAGGACCACUGCCGGGGAUCAACUCGGAGGAAGGUGGGGCACGACGUCAAGUCAUCAUGCCCCUUAUGUCUUGGGCUGGACACGUGCUACAAUGGCCGGUACAAUGAGCUGCGAAGCCGUGAGGUGGAGCGAAUCUCAAAAAGCCGGUCUGAGUUCGGAUUGGGGUCUGCAACUCGACCCCAUGAAGUCGGAGUCGCUAGUAAUCGCAGAUCAGCAUUGCUGCGGUGAAUACGUUCCCGGGCCUUGACACACCGCCCGUCACGUCACGAAAGUCGGUAACACCCGAAGCCGGUGGCCCAACCCUUGUCGCGUUAGUAUCGCAGA
rnacentral:rRNA from 1 species